CUCGGCUGAUACACAAUGGUCUGGGUUGAAGCUCUGCCUUUGUUUCUCUGUGUCAUGGGUUUUCUCUCAGAGACUCUGUGCUCUUUAAGUUUAAAAGCACAAGCUGGAGAUAAAGUAACUAUUUGGUGUGAAAUUAAUCCGAAUGCUGCAAAGUACAUCUCCUGGUUUAAACACACGAGUGAUUCAGUUCCACUUCGUCUUGCAUGUAGACAGUUUUUUAAAAAUUCUCCAGCAGAAACGUGUUACUUCUUUACAGAAAGUGAGAGAAUAGUGAUGUCUGUUUAUGGCAAGAACACGUCUCUCACCAUCACUGCAGUAAAUGUCUCUGAUACAGGACUCUAUUACUGCAGAUACAGUGAGGAAACAAACUUUAGCACCUCAACAUUUUUGCAUGUGGAAGGCAAAAAUAUAAACAUUGUUAAGAAGAAAGAAACCGUUUCAGAAUCUCCUGCUUUGUUCUUCAUGCUGAAUGUGGGGUUGGGUGCACUGACUGUGAUUCUUCUCGGUGUCCUGAUCUGUCUAUUGAAGCAAAGAAAAAACUCACACAGGUGAUGAACCAGAAGAUAGUCAGGUAAGUCUGAUAUUAAUUGAAACACACACACACACACACACACACACACA